rnacentral:rRNA from 1 species
AAAUUGAAGAGUUUGAUCAUGGCUCAGAUUGAACGCUGGCGGCAGGCCUAACACAUGCAAGUCGAACGGUAACAGGAAGCAGCUUGCUGCUUCGCUGACGAGUGGCGGACGGGUGAGUAAUGUCUGGGAAACUGCCUGAUGGAGGGGGAUAACUACUGGAAACGGUGGCUAAUACCGCAUAACGUCGCAGGACCAAAGAGGGGGACCUUCGGGCCUCUUGCCAUCAGAUGUGCCCAGAUGGGAUUAGCUUGUUGGUGAGGUAACGGCUCACCAAGGCGACGAUCCCUAGCUGGUCUGAGAGGAUGACCAGCCACACUGGAACUGAGACACGGUCCAGACUCCUACGGGAGGCAGCAGUGGGGAAUAUUGCACAAUGGGCGCAAGCCUGAUGCAGCCAUGCCGCGUGUAUGAAGAAGGCCUUCGGGUUGUAAAGUACUUUCAGCGGGGAGGAAGGGGAUAAGGUUAAUAACCUUGUU